UGGUUAAGGAACUUGAAACUGCACAGUUGACAUUGUUUUAUAAUGGAGAAGUUAUUGUGUUGGAUGAUUUUCCUGCUGAGAAAGUUGAAGAGCUAAAGUCAUUUGCAAGCACUCUCAAACUCGGCCUUCAGUUAUUCCUGAUAGGGUCCUUCAACCACCUCCUCCCACACUAACUAAUAUGGUGAUUGCUAGAAAAGCUUCACUUCUUCGAUUCAUGGAGAAAAGGAAUGUCAGAGUUUCUGCCAAAUCACCAUAUCAAAGAAGUGAUUUCGACUCUGCUCCAAAAAAAACCUACUGAAUCCACUCAAUGACUUGUUUUAGGUGCUAAAUCAACGUAAAUAUCAGUAAAUAUGAGAGCAAUUGCAGUUUUAAGUAGUUUAACCUUUUUUUGUUUAUAUUACAACUUGUGCAGUGCCAAGGCUAUAAUAGAUCUAUCCUAGGUCUAUUAGCUUAGGGGUGUAAUUAUGAUUUGAAAU